rnacentral:rRNA from 1 species
UAAGGAAUAUUGGUCAAUGGACGCAAGUCUGAACCAGCCAUGCCGCGUGAAGGAUGAAGGUCCUCUGGAUUGUAAACUUCUUUUAUCUGGGACGAAAACGGGAUUUUUAUCUCAAUUGACGGUACCAGAGGAAUAAGCACCGGCUAACUCCGUGCCAGCAGCCGCGGUAAUACGGAGGGUGCGAGCGUUAUCCGGAUUUACUGGGUUUAAAGGGUGCGUAGGUGGGCUUAUAAGUCAGUGGUGAAAUCUCCGAGCUUAACUUGGAAACUGCCGUUGAUACUGUAGGUCUUGAAUUAUCUGGAGGUCAGCGGAAUAUGUCAUGUAGCGGUGAAAUGCUUAGAUAUGACAUAGAACACUAAUUGCGAAGGCAGAUUACUACAUAUAAAUUGACGCUGAGGCACGAAAGCGUGGGGAUCAA